CAAAUUGUUCCAUUAUGUCACACUUUUGAGAAAUUUGCAAUUAAAGUUGCUAAAAAUGGAUUAUUUUUAUAUAUUUUAUCAUCUUAUAACUAGGAUGUAGAACGUGCUGGAGAAAUUUUACAAUCAAAAUUAGAAAUGACUAGUCCUACUUUUAAUGGUUUUCUUAAGUUAUUUCUUCGUUUAAUUGUGUUGUUAACAAUUAAAAGUAUUAAAUAUAAUCUUAUAAAUGUAAAAGCAUUUACACAUACAUACACACAUAGAUAUCUCGUGCUUAUAAAUGUAAUUAAAGGAUAUAUUAGUCGAACAAUAUGCGAGAAAUAUUUAUUUACACGUACUAAUGAAUGUGGAUUAGACUUAAUUUUAAAGCUAUUUAAAUCUGCUCAUGUUGAAAAACUUAGCUGAAAAUUAAUUGAUUUUUAAUAAAGCUUUUUUGCAUAAUCUAAUUAUUAUAAAAGAAUUAAUAAACGAUAACGUUAUCGACUAUUUUUGCGAGGCUUCUAUGUAGUUUGUAAAUUAAUUAUGAACUCCAAGAUAAUGCGAGAUAUUAUGUUGUGGUAGAUAACCAUGUAGUAACUUAUCGCCAAUAUAUAUAUAUAUAUAUUCCUGUGUAAUAAUACCUCGUAAACGUUGUGUACGCGAAGAAACCCCGACGCAUACGAAGUUAGUGCACAAUCAGCCUCCGAGCACACUAUGUGCUUCCUGCUUCUCAUUUAUCUCCUCUUAUCGGGCAACGUCGUGAAUGUUUUCACGAAGGACGCCGAUUGCCAGGUUUACAACCACCUGUACGUCUGUUUAGAAAAUGGUGGUUUUCUUCACAGCGUCGUUUUCGAGGACAUUAACGCUGUUCAGACGAUCGAGGAUAUUGAGCUGCAUCUGGAGAAUCUCGGGAUUGUCAACAUCGUCAGGAACACUUUCGCUGAGGUCAGCAACUCAUCCGCUCUCUAUGUCCACGAUAAUCAAUUAUCAAGUAUCAACCGACAUUACUUCGACGCUCUCGAUCAGCUCACUUAUUUGGACCUGAGAAACAAUACGAUCACCAAUUUAGAAGAUGGUGCUUUCGGAAAUUUGAGCAAUUUGGAAACUCUGCUGCUGGAUCACAACAAUAUCUCGGACUUGCGACCUGGCAUGUGGAAAGGUCUUUCGCAGUUGCAUGAACUCUACAUCACCAACAACCGGCUCACAUUGAGAAAAAACAUGUUCAAAGGACUCAGGCAGCUCGAAACUUUGGUCUUGGACUCGAACGAUAUAUCGGAGAUACCGAUCGGCGCAUUUAACGGGUUAUCCCAUAUAGACCUUCUCUAUCUUUCGCACAACAAGAUCUCGACCUUGCACCCCGACGUGUUCCGCGGUCUCAGCGAGAUAAACGAGCUCGACUUGGGCAGGAAUCGACUGAGAACAAUUCCCGCCAAUGUCUUUCGGAACAUGAAGUCACUGAACUCGCUGUGGCUGAAUAGCAAUCAGUUGACAGUGCUAAAGUCCGACACCUUUCAGGGUCUGGACAAUUUACUGUUUCUCUUCCUGAACAACAACGACCUCCGUUACGUGGACAUGGCGGCGUUCGCGAGAAUGAAAAACAUAACCGUGGAUCCCGGUUUCAGAAUAGGCGGCUCGUUAGUGGACGACUUUGGAAAAAUCCACGGUCAAUAUCAGUGCAGUAGCGUGGCGUAUCAGAUACCGUACGACUGUACAGAGAUUGAUUCAUAGAUUCAAGAAAUCGGCUGACGCUCUUUUUAAAGGUUACGGUCAAGACAAUCCUCCUCAUCCUUGUUAUUGGAGAACAUCCAUGGAUUAUGGCUGCGCCGAGCUCGGCCGCGCAGGAAUGUACAGAAAUUGUUCUCUCAAUACAGAACUCGAU